GAUGAACGCUGGCGGCGUGCCUAAUACAUGCAAGUCGAGCGAACAGAUGAGGAGCUUGCUCCUCUGACGUUAGCGGCGGACGGGUGAGUAACACGUGGAUAACCUACCUAUAAUACUGGGAUAACUUCGGGAAACCGGAGCUAAUACCGGAUAAUAUAUUGAACCGCAUGGUUCAAUAGUGAAAGACGGUUUUGCUGUCACUUAUAGAUGGAUCCGCGCCGCAUUAGCUAGUUGGUAAGGUAACGGCUUACCAAGGCAACGAUGCGUAGCCGACCUGAGAGGGUGAUCGGCCACACGGGAAGUGAGACACGGUCCAGACUCCUACGGGAGGCAGCAGUAGGGAAUCUUCCGCAAUGGGCGAAAGCCUGACGGAGCAACGCCGCGUGAGUGAUGAAGGUCUUCGGAUCGUAAAACUCUGUUAUUAGGGAAGAACAAAUGUGUAAGUAAAUAUGCACGUCUUGACGGUACCUAAUCAGAAAGCCACGGCUAACUACGUG
rnacentral:rRNA from 1 species